UCCCAGACAGCCACACUCAAAAUGGAGGCGCUCUCCAGGCCUUGGGAAGGGGAAAGUGCUUCCAUUUUGUGUGUUGCUGUGUGGAG
ensembl:miRNA